rnacentral:rRNA from 1 species
CCCUUAGAUGUUCUGGGCCGCACGCGCGCUACACUGAUGCAUUCAACGAGUCUAAAACCUGCUCUGAUAGGGGUGGGUAAUCUUUUGAAUGUGCAUCGUGAUUGGGAUAGAUGAUUGAAAUUUUUCAUCUUCGACGAGGAAUGCCUAGUAAACGCAAGUCAUCAGCUUGCAUUGAUUACGUCCCUGCCCUUUGUACACACCGCCCGUCGCUCCUACCGAUUGAAUGAUCCGAUGAAUAUCAUGGAUUGAGGAUGCAAGUAGGUUCACCUAUCUUCAUCUUCGAGAAGUGAAGUAAAUCUUAUCAUUUAGAGGAAGGAGAAGUCGUAACA